rnacentral:lncRNA from 1 species
UGAUUGAUUCAGAUACUGCCUCUGAUGGGUGAGGCACGUUAUAAAAUGAUAUCUAUGGACUUGGUUUCUUAUUUGUUUGAGAGCUUAUGAGGUCCUCCUCAUUAGGUAUAGUCGGAUUAGGGUUAAUAAGCUAUUAAGUCAUGGGCUUUAAUUGAUUGGGCUUUAACCAAAUAAGCUAUUGAGUCAUGGGCUUUAAUUGAUUUGGCUUUAACAUUUUAUGUUUUCUUAGGGAGAA